rnacentral:rRNA from 1 species
CGACAGUGCGAUAGGGGGAUCCCAAGUGCACAGGCAUAGCGCCUGUGCUUUUCGGUACCCUAAGGCGGUACCAGAAUAAGGGCUGGGCAAGACCGGUGCCAGCCGCCGCGGUAAUACCGGCAGCCCAAGUGAUGGCCGAUCUUAUUGGGCCUAAAGCGUCCGUAGCUGGCCGCGCAAGUCCAUCGGGAAAUCCACCUGCUCAACAGGUGGGCGCCCGGUAGAAACUGCGUGGCUUGGGACCGGAAGGCGCGACGGGUACGUCCGGGGUAGGAGUGAAAUCCCGUAAUCCUGGACGGACCGCCGAUGGCGAAAGCACGUCGCGAGAACGGAUCCGACAGUGAGGGACGAAAGCCAGGGUCUCGAACCGGAUUAGAUACCCGGGUAGUCCUGGCCGUAAACAAUGUCUGCUAGGUGUGGCUCCCACUACGAGUGGGUGCUGUGCCGUAGGGAAGCCGCUAAGCAGACCGCCUGGCAAGUACGUCCGCAAGGAUGAAACUUAAAGGAAUUGGCGGGGGAGCACUACAACCGGAGGAGCCUGCGGUUUAAUUGGACUCAACGCCGGACAUCUCACCAGCAUCGACUGUGGUAAUGACGAUCAGGUUGAUGACCUUAUCCGAGCCUCAGAGAGGAGGUGCAUGGCCGCCGUCAGCUCGUACCGUGAGGCGUCCUGUUAAGUCAGGCAACGAGCGAGACCCGCACCCUUACUUGCCAGCAGUACCGCGAGGUAGC